UACGUAGGGCGCAAGCGUUGUCCGGAAUCAUUGGGCGUAAAGCGCGUGUAGGCGGCUCGAUAAGUCUGCUGUGAAAGUCCAGGGCUCAACCCUGGGAUGCCGGUCGAUACUGCCGGACUAGAGUUCGGAAGAGGCGAGUGGAAUUCCCGGUGUAGCGGUGAAAUGCGUAGAUAUCUGGAGGAACACCGGUGGCGAAGGCGGCAUCCUGGACCGGCAUUGACGCUGAGGCGCGAAAGCCAGGGGAGCAAACGGG
rnacentral:rRNA from 1 species